GGGCCCGCACAAGCGGUGGAGUAUGUGGUUUAAUUCGAUGCAACGCGAAGAACCUUACCAGGGUUUGACAUCCUGCGAAUCUCUUGGAAACGAGAGAGUGCCUUCGGGAACGCAGUGACAGGUGGUGCAUGGCUGUCGUCAGCUCGUGUUGUGAAAUGUUGGGGUUAAGUCCCGUAACGAGCGCAACCCUUGUCCUUAUUUGCCAGCACGUAAUGGUGGGAACUCUAAGGAGACUGCCGGUGACAAACCGGAGGAAGGUGGGGACGACGUCAAGUCAUCAUGGCCCUUACGACCAGGGCUACACACGUGCUACAAUGGGGCGUACAGAGGGUUGCGAAGCCGCGAGGUGGAGCC
rnacentral:rRNA from 1 species